GUCCGCCUCGCCGCGUGCACUGGUCCGGCCGGGCCUUUCCUCCUGGGGAGCCGCAUGCCCUUCACUGGGUGUGUCGGGGAACCAGGACUUUUACUUUGAAAAAAUUAGAGUGUUCAAAGCAGGCCUAUGCUCGAAUACAUUAGCAUGGAAUAAUAGAAUAGGACGUGUGGUUCUAUUUUGUUGGUUUCUAGGACCGCCGUAAUGAUUAAUAGGGAUAGUCGGGGGCAUCAGUAUUCAAUUGU
rnacentral:rRNA from 1 species